rnacentral:rRNA from 1 species
UUGGAGAGUUUGAUCCUGGCUCAGGAUGAACGCUGGCGGCGUGCCUAAUACAUGCAAGUCGAGCGAACAGAUAAGGAGCUUGCUCCUUUGACGUUAGCGGCGGACGGGUGAGUAACACGUGGGUAACCUACCUAUAAGACUGGAAUAACUCCGGGAAACCGGGGCUAAUGCCGGAUAACAUUUAGAACCGCAUGGUUCUAAAGUGAAAGAUGGUUUUGCUAUCACUUAUAGAUGGACCCGCGCCGUAUUAGCUAGUUGGUAAGGUAACGGCUUACCAAGGCAACGAUACGUAGCCGACCUGAGAGGGUGAUCGGCCACACUGGAACUGAGACACGGUCCAGACUCCUACGGGAGGCAGCAGUAGGGAAUCUUCCGCAAUGGGCGAAAGCCUGACGGAGCAACGCCGCGUGAGUGAUGAAGGUCUUCGGAUCGUAAAACUCUGUUAUUAGGGAAGAACAAAUGUGUAAGUAACUGUGCACGUCUUGACGGUACCUAAUCAGAAAGCCACGGCUA